AUUGAACGCUGGCGGAAUGCUUUACACAUGCAAGUCGAACGGUAGAGGGGGCAACUCCUCGAGAGUGGCGAACGGGUGAGUAAUAUAUCGGAACGUGCCCAGUCGUGGGGGAUAACGUAGCGAAAGUUACGCUAAUACCGCAUACGAUCUAAGGAUGAAAGCGGGGGAUCGCAAGACCUCGCGCGAUUGGAGCGGCCGAUAUCAGAUUAGGUAGUUGGUGGGGUAAAGGCUCACCAAGCCAACGAUCUGUAGCUGGUCUGAGAGGACGACCAGCCACACUGGAACUGAGACACGGUCCAGACUCCUACGGGAGGCAGCAGUGGGGAAUUUUAGACAAUGGACGCAAGUCUGAUCCAGCCAUUCCGCGUGCAGGAUGAAGGCCCUCGGGUUGUAAACUGCUUUUGUACGGAACGAAAAGGUCUCUCUUAAUACGGGGGGCUCAUGACGGUACCGUAAGAAUAAGCACCGGCUAACUACGUGCCAGCCGCCGCAGUAA
rnacentral:rRNA from 1 species